rnacentral:lncRNA from 1 species
AUGGGACUCAAACACAAGGGUUCUGAUUCCACAUCUCAUGUUAUUAGUGGUGCCAAACUUCCCCCCUCUGUCUCUUUCCCCUCUUGUUCUCUCAAACUUUCUCUCUGCAUAUCUGUCUCUCUUCCCCCAUCUUGCUCUUUUUUUCCCUCUUGCCCUCCUUCCCCCACUCUCUCCCGCUCUGUUUCCCAUCUUGCUCUUUUCCCCUCUUGUUCUCCUUCCCUCUCCCUCCCUCUCUCCUCUCCCUCCCCCUCUCUCUCUCCUUCCCUCUCUCUCUCUCCUCUCCCUCCCUCUCUCUUUUUCUCUCUCCUCUCCCUCCCUCUCUUUUUCUCUCUCACCUCUCCCUCCCUCUCUCCUCUCCCUCCCCCUCUCUCAUACAGGCCUCUCUCUCUCUCCUCUCCUUCCCUCUCUC